GCCUGGGUGGCUCAGUCGGUUAAGCAUCUGACUUCGGCUCAGGUCAUGAUCUCAUGGUUUGUGGGUUUGAGCCCCGCAUCGGGCU
rnacentral:tRNA from 1 species